AUUGAACGCUGGCGGCAUGCCUUACACAUGCAAGUCGAACGGUAACGGGCCUUCGGGUGCCGACGAGUGGCGAACGGGUGAGUAAUACAUCGGAACGUGCCCGAUCGUGGGGGAUAACGAGGCGAAAGCUUUGCUAAUACCGCAUACGAUCUACGGAUGAAAGCAGGGGACCGCAAGGCCUUGCGCGGACGGAGCGGCCGAUGGCAGAUUAGGUAGUUGGUGGGAUAAAAGCUUACCAAGCCGACGAUCUGUAGCUGGUCUGAGAGGAUGAUCAGCCACACCGGGACUGAGACACGGCCCAGACUCCUACGGGAGGCAGCAGUGGGGAAUUUUGGACAAUGGGCGCAAGCCUGAUCCAGCCAUGCCGCGUGCAGGAUGAAGGCCUUCGGGUUGUAAACUGCUUUUGUACGGAACGAAAAGCCUUCUUUUAAUACAGGAGGGUCAUGACGGUACCGUAAGAAUAAGCACCGGCUAACUACGUG
rnacentral:rRNA from 1 species